UUGACGGGACCGCACAAGCGUGGAUGAUGUGGUUAAUUCGAUGCAACGCGAAACCUUACCACCUUGACAUGUACGGAAUCCUUUAGAGAUAGAGGAGUGCUCGAAAGAGAGCCGUAACACAGGUGCUGCAUGGCUGUCGUCAGCUCGUGUCGUGAGAUGUUGGGUUAAGUCCCGCAACGAGCGCAACCCUUGUCAUUAGUUGCUACAUUCAGUUGGGCACUCUAAUGAGACUGCCGGUGACAAACCGGAGGAAGGUGGGGAUGACGUCAAGUCCUCAUGGCCCUUAUAGGUGGGGCUACACACGUCAUACAAUGGAUGGUACAAAGGGUCGCCAACCCGCGAGGGGGAGCCAAUCCCAUAAAGCCAUUCGUAGUCCGGAUCGCAGUCUGCAACUCGACUGCGUGAAGUCGGAAUCGCUAGUAAUCGUGGAUCAGAAUGUCACGGUGAAUACGUUCCCGGGUCUU
rnacentral:rRNA from 1 species